CUUUUGAGCUUUUGGACACGCCCUCUCCAUCUUUGCCUUCCAGCUAUUUUUUAUCGGAAUUAUGGUGCCCAUUUGGGAGCCCAGGAUAGAACUGUGUCAAGUGUCCAUUCUCCUUUGUGCAUCUUUGCAUGCCUUUGUGACCCAAGUCUGACUUCAUGGUUAUGCUGGCCCAGCACACUGGCUGUACCAGCCAUGAUGCAGGUGUCCAGUUUACACCUCUGCACCCCGGAUGAAUACAACAUCUGCCCAGCUGUCCAGUAAUCCACAUGAUAUGCCAAGGUGUCUGUACCAGGGCACAAACAGCUACUCCUCUGGGGCUGCUGUGAGUAUGGUAUACCAAAACAGUGUUCGCACUCGACAGACCAUCCGAGCUGUGACUUCUUCCCCUAAACACGGUGAGCACAAGGUACCCCAUUCUAUUCUCCACAAAACUUCCUUUGCCAGGUCUCCCAAAGCAAGUCCCACUGCUUUAGGCUACCCUAGGUGUGUACAUAUGGCUAGAGCUAUACACAAAGGAUUGGACUUAAUGCAGCAUCGGGCCUGUUCUCCCUUCUCUAACCCUCUACCACCCUACAAAAAAAAAAAAAAA
rnacentral:lncRNA from 1 species